UCCUUCUAGUUGCUGUAUGUGGGAUGCCGCCUCAGCAUGGCCGGACAAGCGGUGUCAUGUCCGCGCCCCAGAUCCAAACUGAUGAACCCC